rnacentral:rRNA from 1 species
CACCAGGUUGAUUCUGCCUGACGUAGACGCUAUUCCCUAAGAUUAACCCAUGCAUGUUUUUGAAGAUUAUUAUCUGAAAAAUGGACUGCUCAGUAAUACUCACUUUAUUUUAUGUGCACCGCAGAUAACUACGUUAAAGUGUAGAUAACAUGUGUACAGUAAGAGUGAGACCUAUCAGCUAGUUGUUAGGGUAAUGGCUUAACAAGGCAGUGACGGGUAACGGUAUUACUUUGUAAUAUUCCGGAGAAGGAGCCUGAGAGACGGCUACUAAGUCUAAGGAUUGCAGCAGGGGCGAAACUUGACCUAUGGAUUUUAUCUGAGGCAGUUAUGGGAAGUAAUAUAUUAUUGUUUCAUAUUUUAAAAAUAUAUGAGGUGAUUAAUUGGAGGGCAAAUCAAGUGCCAGCAGCCGCGGUAAUACUUGUUCCAAGAGUGUGUAUGAUGAUUGAUGCAGUUAAAAAGUCCGUAGUUUAUUUUUAAGAAGCAAUAUGAGGUGUACUGUAUAGUUGGGAGAGAGAUGAAAUGUGACGACCCUGACUGGACGAACAGAAGCGAAAGCUGUACACUUGUAUGUAUUUUUUGAACAAGGACGUAAGCUGGAGGAUCGAAGAUGAUUAGAUACCAUUGUAGUUCCAGCAGUAAACUAUGCCGACGAUGUGAUAUGAGUAUUUGUAUUACAUAGUAGAAAUUAGAGUUUUUUGGCUCUGGGGAUAGUAUGAUCGCAAGAUUGAAAAUUAAAGAAAUUGACGGAAGAAUACCACAAGGAGUGGAUUGUGCGGCUUAAUUUGACUCAACGCGAGGUAACUUACCAAUAUUUUAUUAUUCUGAGAGAAUCCUGAUUCGAGAAUGAUAAUAGUGGUGCAUGGCCGUUUUCAAUGGAUGCUGUGAAGUUUUGAUUAAUUUCAACAAGACGUGAGACCCUUUUAUAUAGACAGACACAAUCAGUGUAGGAAGGAAAGGAUUAAAACAGGUCCGUUAUGCCCUCAGACAUUUUGGGCUGCACGCGCAAUACAAUAGAUAUACAGUCUUUAUGGGAUAAUAUUUUGUAAGAGAUAUUUGAACUCGGAAUUGCUAGUAAAUUUUAUUGAAUAAGUAGAAUUGAAUGUGUCCCUGUUCUUUGUACACACCGCCCGUCGCUAUCUAAGAUGAUAUAUGCUGUGAAAUUAGUGCAAACUACUUGAACAAUAUGUAUUAGAUCUGAUAUAAGUCGUAACAUGGUUGCUGUUGGAGAACCAUUAGCAGGAUCAUAA